UCCUCACCGUUUCUUUAUCUCCUUCUUCGGCCAGCUGAAGCUUACUUCAGUUGGCGGCCAUGGUGGCCGCAGGUGGCGCCACCGCCUCCGGCGGCGGUCGCCGGCGGCUUCUCCGGUCGCCAAAAUUUCUCAAAAUGCACCUCCCCACUCCAUUUUUCGCGUAGGUUCCAUUUCCGGAGUUAAUUUUUACAAAAGAUAAUCCGAAGGUGGCCGAAAGCAAAAAGUCAGUCCAGUUUUUUUAUUUUUUAAAACACUAUAUCUUUCACCAAAAAUCACAAAAAUUAUACCAUAACACUCCUUGCAACUUCUACAAUACAACUAUAAUCUUAAUUUGACAAGAAAACAACAUAAAAUGGCCAAAAUAAAGCAAAACAGCCCCUAAAAUUCUUUUUGGCAUUUUUUCAAACUAUUAACAUGCAUUCACAAUAAACCUUUCCUUUUCCUAAAUCCGGUUCAUGCCAUUUCCAAUUUUUGAACAAUCCAACAACAACAAUGCAAAGCAGCAAAAACAGGAGAAAAUAGGCAAUUAAAUAUGAAUUUAAUGUGAAAAACAAAACGGAAAAAAAAAAAAGAAAAAAAAUACCUCUAGGAUAUUGCAGUCACUUGAUUGAGCUUUGUGGUGGAAUUCCUAAAUUCCAAUGGUCUGACCGCUAGUUCCCUUUCUUCUUUUAUGGCUUUGUCUGUUGGGAGCAAAGAAAGGUCCGAGAGAUGUAUUGGCUUGGAGUGUUUUUGUUGAGAGCAAAAGAAAAGGCCGAGAGAGUGUCCCUUCUUUUUUUUUCUUCCUUCUGCCGUUUUUUUUCCAGAGAGAGCCGAGAGAGUCAGGAGAUGUCUAUUGGGAAAGAAAGUGGAGCUU
rnacentral:lncRNA from 1 species